rnacentral:rRNA from 1 species
UACAGAGGGUGCGAGCGUUAAUCGGAAUUACUGGGCGUAAAGCGCGCGCAGGCGGUCUUCCAAGUCAGUGGUGAAAGCCCGGAGCUCAACUCCGGAAUUGCCAUUGAAACUGUGAGACUGGAGUACGAGAGAGGUGAGUGGAAUUCCCAGUGUAGAGGUGAAAUUCGUAGAUAUUGGGAAGAACACCGGUGGCGAAGGCGGCUCACUGGCUCGUAACUGACACUCAGGCGCGACAGCGUGGGGAUCAAACAGGG